rnacentral:tRNA from 1 species
UCCCUGGCGGUCCAGUGGCUAAGACUCUGCACUCUCAAUGCAGGGGUCUGGGUUGGAUCCCUGGUCAGGGAA